GGGCGGUUAGCUCAGUUGGUUAGAGCGCCACGUUGACAUCGUGGAGGCCACAAGUUCGAGUCUUGUACCGCCCACUA
rnacentral:tRNA from 1 species